rnacentral:rRNA from 1 species
GGAUGGGCAUGCGUGACAUUAGCUAGUUGGCGGGGCAACGGCCCACCAAGGCGACGAUGUCUAGGGGUUCUGAGAGGAAGGUCCCCCACACUGGUACUGAGACACGGACCAGACUCCUACGGGAGGCAGCAGUGAGGAAUAUUGGUCAAUGGGCGCGAGCCUGAACCAGCCAAGUCGCGUGAGGGAUGACGGCCCUACGGGUUGUAAACCUCUUUUGUCGGGGAGCAAAUUCCGCCACGCGUGGCGGAGUCGAGAGUACCCGAAGAAAAAGCAUCGGCUAACUCCGUGCCAGCAGCCGCGGUAAUACGGAGGAUGCGAGCGUUAUCCGGAUUUAUUGGGUUUAAAGGGUGCGCAGGCAGUCUGUUAAGUCAGCGGUCAAAGCCCGGGGCUCAACCCCGGCCCGCCGUUGAAACUGGCAGUCUCGAGUUGGAGAGAAGUAUGCGGAAUGCGCGGUGUAGCGGUGAAAUGCAUAGAUAUCGCGCAGAACUCCGAUUGCGAAGGCAGCAUGCCGGCUCCACACUGACGCUGAGGCACGAAAGCGUGGGUAUCGAACAGGAUUAGAUACCCUGGUAGUCCACGCAGUAAACGAUGAAUGCUGGCUGUCCGGGG